rnacentral:rRNA from 1 species
AGAGUUUGAUCCUGGCUCAGAGCGAACGCUGGCGGCGUGCCUAACACAUGCAAGUCGAACGUGAAAUGUAGCAAUACAGAGUAAAGUGGCGUACGGGUGAGUAACACGUAGGUAAUCUACCUGAGUGUCUGGAAUAACCUGCCGAAAGGCGGGCUAAUACUGGAUAGAGCGACGGGAUCCGUAAUUGGGUCUUUCGGGAA